rnacentral:tRNA from 1 species
AGGGCUUUAGCCAAGUGGUUAAGGCAAGAGACUUUGACUCUCUUAUGCGUAGGUUCGAUUCCUACAAGCUCUG